UAUAGAAACAUACAUGCAUGCCAGUUUUGAAUUAUUACUUUUGACUAGGCUAACUUCUUCACUUGAGUAACCGGAAUCUGCUUUACCUGUUUGUCUUCUUUGUGAUUAUCUCAUUGUAAAAGCCAUCUGGGUCUAAUCAGAAAUUGGCAGGGAAUUCCAACACAAUUUUGUAAUUAUUCAAACAGGUUACAAUAUUUCCUCUCCCUCUCGAGAUUCAACUGUUAAAAGUGGAGAGCCUAUGAAAGCUGAAGGGGAGAUCAAGGUUGGGAUUUUGGAUAAAUUAGUUGUUGAUAAGGAAAAGAAAAAAGGUAAAAGAAGCCGCCAUGACCUCUAAGAUCACCGACUACUUCACCAUUAGACACUGUUGAUCAGAAGCUCAUCAGUGAACUAAACUAUCGGAGCUUGCGGUGUUAAAGAGGGCUAGGAUGGAGAGCGUAUGAAGGCAUUGGAGAAGAUGAAUAAUUCCAAACCAGCAUCUUCAAUUGCGAAUCUGGUGGCUUUGAUCAUUUCCGUCAUCUUUUGCUUCUUCAUGCUUUGGCAAGGUAUAACAACUGAUAACCCAUAAGUUAUGUUAACAUGCAUUAUGUUCUAUGCACAAUUAGAUUCUUGUUCACUAGCACUGGUUGUGCAUAACAGUAAAUCAUCUUUGUUGCUCCUACUACAUCCAUUUUGAGAUAGAAAUUUCGUACUUAAUCACCAUUACAAUAUGACCAUUACAAUAUGACAUGUGUUCACUACAGUUAUACUUGCAUUCACUUUGCAACCAAUAUCUUGUUAGUUAUUUUUAAAAUGGUCUUUGACUAAUUCCUUCAAUGUUCUACUGGUCUACUGCAUCUCUGCUAACCAAUACCAUUAGUCUUUAUUAAUUUGACUUUGCCUAGAAACAACAGAUGUGUA